UCGGGAAUUUUGGGCAAUGGGCGAAAGCCUGACCCAGCAACGCCGCGUGAAGGAUGAAAUCCCUCGGGAUGUAAACUUCGCAAGAACGGGAAGAAUAAGCCUGUGUGAAUAUCGCAGGUGAUGACGGUACCGUUUGUAAGCUCCGGCUAACUCCGUGCCAGCAGCCGCGGUAAUACGGAGGGUGCGAGCGUUGUCCGGAAUCACUGGGCGUAAAGGGCGCGUAGGUGGCCUGUGGAAGUCUGCGGUGAAAGCCCGGCGCUCAACGCCGGGUCGGCCGUGGAUACUCUCGGGCUUGAGCUCACUAGAGGCAGAUGGAAUUCCGGGUGUAGCGGUGGAAUGCGUAGAGAUCCGGAAGAACACCGGUGGCGAAGGCGGUCUGCUGGGGUGAUGCUGACACUGAUGCGCGACAGCGUUGGGAGCAAAC
rnacentral:rRNA from 1 species